GCGGACGGGUGAGUAACACGUGGAUAACCUACCUAUAAGACUGGGAUAACUUCGGGAAACCGGAGCUAAUACCGGAUAAUAUUUUGAACCGCAUGGUUCAAAAGUGAAAGACGGUCUUGCUGUCACUUAUAGAUGGAUCCGCGCUGCAUUAGCUAGUUGGUAAGGUAACGGCUUACCAAGGCAACGAUGCAUAGCCGACCUGAGAGGGUGAUCGGCCACACUGGAACUGAGACACGGUCCAGACUCCUACGGGAGGCAGCAGUAGGGAAUCUUCCGCAAUGGGCGAAAGCCUGACGGAGCAACGCCGCGUGAGUGAUGAAGGUCUUCGGAUCGUAAAACUCUGUUAUUAGGGAAGAACAUAUGUGUAAGUAACUGUGCACAUCUUGACGGUACCUAAUCAGAAAGCCACGGCUAACUACGUGCCAGCAGCCGCGGUAAUACGUAGGUGGCAAGCGUUAUCCGGAAUUAUUGGGCGUAAAGCGCGCGUAGGCGGUUUUUUAAGUCUGAUGUGAAAGCCCACGGCUCAACCGUGGAGGGUCAUUGGAAACUGGAAAACUUGAGUGCAGAAGAGGAAAGUGGAAUUCCAUGUGUAGCGGUGAAAUGCGCAGAGAUAUGGAGGAACACCAGUGGCGAAGGCGACUUUCUGGUCUGUAACUGACGCUGAUGUGCGAAAGCGUGGGGAUCAAACAGGAUUAGAUACCCUGGUAGUCCACGCCGUAAACGAUGAGUGCUAAGUGUUAGGGGGUUUCCGCCCCUUAGUGCUGCAGCUAACGCAUUAAGCACUCCGCCUGGGGAGUACGACCGCAAGGUUGAAACUCAAAGGAAUUGACGGGGACCCGCACAAGCGGUGGAGCAUGUGGUUUAAUUCGAAGCAACGCGAAGAACCUUACCAAAUCUUGACAUCCUUUGACAACUCUAGAGAUAGAGCCUUCCCCUUCGGG
rnacentral:rRNA from 1 species